AUACCUUCUCGGCCUUUUGGCUAAGAUCAAGUGUAGUAUCUGUUCUAAUCAGUGUGAAAGCUGGUUUUUGCAAUUUUUUGCAAAGUCUAUUUCACAUUUAUUUUUGAAUAGCCCGAUUACAUCCAGCUUGCUGGUUGAAAUUGGGACGGUCUCCGGGGGCUUACACCUUUCCCCCGUGAGGCCAACAAUCC
rfam:Plasmopara halstedii genome assembly, contig: Scaffold_1721